rnacentral:rRNA from 1 species
UACAGAGGGUGCGAGCGUUGUCCGGAAUCACUGGGCGUAAAGGGCGCGUAGGCGGCCUGAUAAGUAGGGGGUGAAAUCUUGCGGCUCAACCGCAAGGCUGCCUUCUAAACUGUCAGGCUGGAGCACGGUAGAGGCAGAUGGAAUUCCCGGUGUAGCGGUGGAAUGCGUAGAGAUCGGGAAGAACACCAGUGGCGAAGGCGGUCUGCUGGGCCGUUGCUGACGCUGAGGCGCGACAGCGUGGGGGGCAAACAGG